GCCUCGGUGGCUCAGUCAGUUAAGCAUCUGACUUUGGCUCAGGUCAUGAUCUCGUGGUUUGUGGGUUUGAGCCCCACAUGGGGCU
rnacentral:tRNA from 1 species